rnacentral:rRNA from 1 species
GUGAAGCCUGCGGUUCAAUUGGAGUCAACGCCAGAAAUCUUACCCGGAGAGACAGCAGAAUGAAGGUCAAGCUGAAGACUUUACCAGACAAGCUGAGAGGUGGUGCAUGGCCGUCGCCAGCUCGUGCCGUGAGAUGUCCUGUUAAGUCAGGUAACGAGCGAGAUCCCUGCCUCUAGUUGCCACCAUUACUCUCAGGAGUAGUGGGGCGAAUUAGCGGGACCGCCGCAGUUAAUGCGGAGGAAGGAAGGGGCCACGGCAGGUCAGUAUGCCCCGAAACUCUGGGGCCACACGCGGGCUGCAAUGGUAACGACAAUUGGUUUCGAAUCCGAAAGGAUGAGGUAAUCCUCAAACGUUACCACAGUUAUGACUGAGGGCUGCAACUCGCCCUCACGAAUAUGGAAUCCCUAGUAACUGCGUGUCAUUAUCGCGCGGUGAAUACGUCCCUGCUCCUUGUACACACCGCCCA